AACCCGGGGCGGCUCCUUCCGAAGGCUCCACUCCAGCGGCUCGCUGCGGGAGACCAAGGCCAGCCGCCGUCCCAGGGGACGGCCCUCGGGGAACCUGAAUGACGUGCGAGGCCGUACCUCGGGGCGCUGGACUCCGCUCGGGCGCUCCCGCUCUCCGCUCCCGCUCUCGGGUCCCAAUCCCGACGCUCCGCGCGCUCCCGGACUAAGUGCGGACGCGCCCCACGCCCCCCGGCGCCAGCCCGGGACAGCGCUGCACCUGUUGCCACGUGCGACGCGGCGCUCAGCGGCUGCCACUGCCGCCGGCGCACCUGGCUGCACCGCGCGUCCCGGGACCACGCUCGUCCCCGCAGGAGCCCGGGGCUCCGCCGCACCCAGCGCUAGGGCCCAGGCCGGGCCGCGGCAUCUAGAACACUGAGAAAUCCAGGAUGGACACUUAACACUACCAAAGAUUGAUCUAUUUUGGAGUUAGUUCUUUAGAUCAGAGGUCCCCAACCCCAGGACUGCGGACUGCCACUGGUCUUUGGCCUGUCAGGCACCCGGCCACACAGCUGGAGUGUGAAAAAAAAGGAAAAAACUGAAAAUCUCAAGAGGAUUCCAGGAAAUCAAAACAAUGAAUUAUUGAAUCAAGAAUUUGAAAGAGAAAAUAGAUGCAUACUGAAAAAAGAAUUUUGUUUAGUGAGAUAGAUGUAAUAAUGAAGGCAUGUUGAUAACGGGGGAGCUAUGUAUAUAUGAGGGGAGGGAUAUAUUGGAAAUCUCUGUAUCUUCCUCUCAAUCUUGCUGUGAUCCUAAAACUGCUCUAAAAAAUAUUUUGAGAAGGAAUAAUGAUGUGGUAAACAUGUUCUGUUAUUUAAAAAGAGAGACUUUUCAUAGCCGCCUCCCUCCCCCUCUACACACACACAGAGUCCUGUCCGUCUUCAUUCCCUUACUCAAUAAUUUGUACAGACACAGCCACUGGGCUCCAGUAAUCCUAAAGUUUCUAGAAAAUCAAGCACAGAAAAAGGUUAAAACCCUGAGGGAAUAAAAGAAUUCCUUUGCAUCCAUUGCAUUUCUCAGGAAGUGAACUAACAAAUUCACUGCUUUUAAAUGAGGAAAUUUUCUCAGUGAAAUUGAUUCCAAACCUUCGUUAGGUCAACUGUUCCCAGAUUUCUUAGCUGAUGCCUGAUCUGACUAUUCCUUAUCUUUAGUACAGAAACCAAGGUGAAUGACCUUUAAAAAACAUAUUAGACUGUUGACGUGUCUUCUAUGUUGUACUCUAGGUAAAAACGAUAAACCAGGAAAAAGAAAGUAAAAUUCAACCUUAGGCUCAUGGAUCCAGAGUGGAUAAUUAUGAGUCUGUAGUAUCUACAUGCAUGUGAUGAGGUUCAAGGACAAUAACCAUAAAGCAAAGACUUAAAAGGUUUUAUCAUUAGAAUAAUUGUAAUUCACUUGAUCUCUCAAUGUAACAAUACUUCGGUCUACUGUCUCAAGCCAUUAUUAUGUCUUACACUCAGCAUAUUGGUUUGUCUACCAUUAAAUAUUUAUUUUCUACAGUGCUUUCUGGAAGGCAAACAAAGCAGCCACUCUGCUACUUUAUAUUGAUUCCUGAGUUGUCCUUCGGAAACGCUUUCAGGAAGUUUAAUAGGUUUGAAAGAUAUUUAGACCUGUGACUGGCAAAUAUACUUCCUUCUUUUUAUUUCAAUAAGAGAGUACUAGAACUUAGAUCUUUAUUGUUUAAUCUAGUCAGUGCUGUCAUUGUCAAUCAAGUUCUCAAAUGACACUUGUCCUGAGCUGUAACUGAUCUAUUCAGAAGAAUAUGAAAAUAGUAAAGACGGCAACUAUGCAUGUUUUUACCGGACACGAUUUUAAUUGCUUUAAAAUGAAGUUAUGCAACCAAUGAGGAAUGGAGCUUUUGGAGUGGCCUGAAGCUAAAGGUUUCAGGUGUAUUUUUGCUUUCUUUGAAGAAAGAACCAAAUCAUUUUAUUUAAUAAAAAGGCCAUUUAUCAAGAAUUUCUUAAAGCUGUUUUAAACCUGAGUUUGCAAUUUAUAGAAUAUGUUCAAGCAGCCUCAGUGCCCUUUUAAUUGGAUGGUUUUCACAGAUUUAUCCAAUUUGAGAUUUAUCCAGUGAGAAUUCCCUUUGUUCAAGUAUAUAUGUCUUCUCUUCCAUAAAGCAGAUUCAAAUGAAAGAGUGCAAUCUGAUAUAUCAGACAUGUCAGUUAUACAUUUGAUGUGGUAAAUUUAUAAGAGAGGCCAAUUAUUGUUAUGAAAAAAUACAAUGAAAUACAUGAUAGUCAUUUACUGUUUUUAUAACUAAUCUAAAAGUAUUUACUAAAAAGAAACUAUUUCUUUUCAUAUGUACUUUACUUUUUACUUUAACCCUUCAUAUGUCCUUUAAAUAAAGAGAAGAAAAAAAGUCA
rnacentral:lncRNA from 1 species